rnacentral:lncRNA from 1 species
AUGCCAUCCUUCAUCCUUCAAAGACCCCGUGUGCACUUGAAGCACCCCCAUCUCACAGGUGCAGAAACUGAGCUACAUGACAUCAUGCAUACUUUUACCCCUUACACGCCCUGUGACACAGGCAAACCUGAACUUGAACUCAGGUCUCUAGACUCUCACCAUGACUUGAGACAUCAAAGGACAAAUGGAUCAAAGUCUUCUGGGAGAAAAGGCAGCCCCAGAGGCCACCUUGUCCACAUUCCUGGGGGCCGGAGAGCGCUUGGAGGCACCUGUGCUUAUCUGCUAAGAUGUCUGUUUUGGCCGGGUUUUACCAGCCUUGAGACUUCAUUGCCUGUCACCGCGGAGAGAGCAUCUCAAAACCAGGCUCCCUCCCUCUAUUUUUCAAAGCCAUGCUUCCCCAACCAGAUUUACAUUUUCAAAAACCCUUCAGAUAAUCACAGACCCAAGAAACUUCCACUCCUCUGAGGUUUAAUUAGGAGAAACUGUCUUUCUAGUACUUCCAAGAGCCUUGCUCUAAAUUUCUCAGCGGCAAGAGAAGGUUCACGGCGGAUGAGUGGGAGCAAGCGGAACCUGUGAACAGCCGCCCCCUCUGUCCCCCUCUGUCCCUUGCAGCGGAGAUAAAGCCAUGUUGCAGGUCACUGAAAUCACAUUGUGAGUGUGCCCUGUAUCAUUAGGACCCAGAGAAUGGAGAUGAUCGGAACGCAGGAUAACACAUUAGCGAUAGAUAAUAGAGUCUAAAUAAACAUAAUCAGCUUUCCUCUAUGUCUUCAGACCAAAGCUUAUCUAUAAAUACCCUAAUGACGCCCAACCAGCCAAUUACUCGUUUCUUGGAAGAGCCCCUUAUUAAUGGCGUUGCAGUGAGGGAAAAACAUUAAUUAUUGGACACAGUGGGAUCUUUUACGUUCUGUCUGGUCCGGACAGCACCAAUUAAUGCAACAAUUAUUAUCAACGACCGUGGCAGCAUACCGAGUGCAGCCACCCCAGGCUGGUUCGAUGGGGUGGGAAGAACGUGCACGCUGGGAAGACAUCACCCACACUCUUUUCAUGGAGCCUGCUUCUUCAUCACUGCGGAAGCUGCUGGAACAAAGCAGAGAGUGGCCAGAGUGUGUUGGUUUUUCUAUUUAAGCCAUAAGAUAGUAGUCCUGGGGUGCUGAAUGGGGGAGAGUGGGAGGAGUCAGGCACUGGUCUGUUGUGUUGAGUUGCUAAGUGAAACUAGGCAGAAGAGUAGAGAAGAGAGGCCACCUUCAGAGCAUGGAGCGUCUGGCUUGGCUCUUGCACACUCCUCCAUACUCUUCUCUCCCACUCAUUAUAGUACACCCCAUGCUUCUCCCUCAGCUUUUCCAGUUCAGCUGUGUUCUAUCCUGCCCCAGGACAUUUGCACAAGCUAUUGUUAAUACCCCAAAGAGCGUCUCUGUCCUUUAUAAGGCUGACUCCUUUCUGAAUGUGGUACAAAGGUUCCCUUUGCAGAAAGGUCUUUCUUGAUCUUGAACCCCAAAUACAAAUUUUCUUAAUAUUAGUCACUUCUUGUUUCUAUUUUUGCACAAAGUCAAUCAUAAGUCUUGAGAUAUUUAACAGCUCUAUCUUAUUAUUUUAUUUGUGUCUGUCUCCCUCACAAGAAUGUAAGCUCCAUGAGGGCAAGGACUUUGUCUUUUUUCUCCAGCAUCUACCCAAGUGUUUUGCAUUUAGGAGGGGCUCAAUAGAUGUUUGGUGAGUGAGUAAAUAAUGCACGGUGUAGAAACAGAUUGUACUUGCAGGUGCUAUGGAGAGUAAACCAGCUAUCUUCUUGCAAAAAUUCCACAAAGGGGAAAAUAAAUUGUUCUAUUCAGAGCACUAACAUCUUCUGCAGACUCUGUGUCAGCUGUACUUCUGCACUUCAUAGGUGAUGGACAUGCUUGAGGGGCCUGUGAUGGGCUGUCCUGUAACCUACUGGCUUCUAUUAUCACUCACAUCAUGGUCCGUUAUUUGAGCUGACUACAAAUCAGUCUGCUCUGCCCAAGGUACAAACCUGUUGCAGGAAUGCUUUUAUUUUUCUCUUCUCGGUGACAAGGAGGGGCUCUCUUCUGGGAGGCAUUAAUUACAAAGCACUUUGGAAAAUUAGUCCAGUGAAAGAUGGAAGGGCUCCCCUGAGCCGUGGUCAGGGCUCUGUGUAGUGGGCCUGCCCCUGUGGCCCUUCUGGAGAAAGAUCUCUAGGCUAUUUGUGCUAGAAGUUACCCUUUGGAGUGUUAAAGAAGUUCAUAUGUGUUAUUCAAGGUCAAAGCCCAGUUCAAGAAACUUACCUGACCUUCCUGCACCUCUGCAAUCUGUAGUUACUAACCACAUCCAACCCUGUGCACCCUUCCCUGAGAUGACCUUCUUCUGAGGUUUUCUAACCAAAGUGGAGCCAUGGAAGCUCAGAGGCAGUCCUGGGGUGUACUCAGCCUAGGACUGCUGUACAGAUGUGGCCACAGCAAGAAUUACCAUCCCAUUUCUUCCAAAUAACCAUCUCCAGGGAAAUACUUAGAAAUGACAGGGACACUCAAGGCAUCUGUCAGGGCUGGUUUUUCUUUCAUCUCCCUGAGAAUGGCAAUGACCUCAACUCACAAUCAUCUCACCCGCUCCGCACGCCUCUAACACAUUUGAUCUUGACCCUGCAGUUAGGCACAAGUUGGACUGCUCAGUUCCUGGUCUGUUUGGGGGCAGAAAGGUGGGGAUCCACUGGAGGGCAGGGUAUACAGUGUCUCUACACCCUGCUCAGCGCCUAGCUUGCUGAUGCCUUGGCCAUGUCCAGUAGAAGUUUAUCUCAGUGCUCCACUUUGUCAACAUUCUGGACCCUUCCUCUGACCGCUGAGACCAGCCUGUGACCCAUGGAGAGUGGGAACCAGAAACUAUUCAUCCUUCUAUCUCCGGUGCCUGGCCCAGGGUCCUAGCCCCAGAAUGACUUUCAGCCUUCAGAAUGAGCGAAUGUGUAAGCCCUUGAAAGAAGCUGCCGAGGGCAUUUCAAAGGGAGCUGUCCCUGCUGUGGAAUGCCCAUCCUUUCCCUCCUGCCCAAGAAGGAGCAUUUGGAGUUACUGUGUGUUUCUGUAUGCCCAGCAGGAAAAUGAAACAUUAUAGCGAGAUGUUUCCAGACAAGGAAGCUGGUGGAUCUGAGUUCAAAUCCCAGUCCUGCCACCUACUGGCAGAGGGUAUUGGACAUGUUCCUGAACCUUCUGGUGCCUUUGUUUCCUUGUAUGGAAAAUACAAAUAAUGGUCGUGAUCUCCUCAUGCUGGAGGGGUGUUUGAUGUUUGGCUAAUAUCAGUCGAGUGUUAAGCAUGGUGUUUGGGACAAAAUAAACCUCCAAUAAAUAUUAAUGGCUGUGAUUACUACUUGUAGCAAUGAAGAGUUUUAGAACACAGGAGUGAGGUCUCCAAGGACGGUCAGUUGAUAGUUUUAUACUGACUGCCCUGGGGAGCUGAGCAUUGUCCUGGGCUCUGAGGUUACCGUGGUGACAAAGAUUGGUUCUGUCCCAGAGAAUCUGUUGCACGUUAACCAAAUACAGUUUCUUGCUGCUGGGAAUCUUAUUUAUUCUGAAGACCCUGACCCAUGUACUGCAGGAAGACACCUCACAUUGGUGCGAGGUGUUUGAUGAACAAAAAGAACGACAGUGACCUUGGAGAGUGGACUGCUUCCGAGGGGGCCUGUGGUGGUGUGUGGGGUGUGUUUGACCACUGACUGUAGUCUCUGGAUUGUGCUGGGCAAUCAUUAACCAUCUUCCAAUCAACCAGGGCCUGAAGCCAUGUAGAAAUAUCCAUUCAGAAGGUUCUAGAUCAUAAAUCAUGGGCUGUAAUUCAGAUGGUCUGCUGUUAGGACUCUCAAUCGGGAUUCGUGUUUGAAGCUACUGUAUGUUUUUUCUGUUUGUGGCUUCUUGGUAUGUUUGACACUAUCACACAGAUUAUGAUGAAGGCCCUCUGGUUACUACCCACUGCUCGGGAGGACUGUCACUUUCUGGGAUCCCCUGGAACCCUCCCAAGUGAAGUUGUCUGUGCCCCAUAGUCCCAUAGUCGCUGUGUUCUCUGACCGUCUGCAUUCUCCUUUCCCCAUCUGAUCACCCAGCCUUCCUGCUUGUGUCUCGUGACAUUUUGUGCAAGUUCAGUAUCGUCCUCAGCAUAGUACCUACAUGUGAACCUCACAUAAUUGGGGUCCCUCACGUAAUAUGUGUACCUUACAUAAUUUCUCUAACCACCUACCUUAUUUAAUUGGAAACCAGGAACCUUUGAGCUAUCUAAUGACAUCAUCUGACUUUUAUUAAUUUCUGCCUAUUUGCUUAGUUGCCAAUUUCUAAACUUGUCUUGAACCUUGAUGAGGGAAGGAAAUGCUGAGCAGGCAGCUUUUGUUCAAGCAAUAAAUGAAAUAUGAAAUGAAAAGAAAUGAAAUCAGUAAUAAAAGAAACCCACAAAAAUAUUAAGUUGUGGUACUGAAGACCAUCUCUACUGAGUCUGCAAAACACUUUCCUUUACUAUGAAGAUGGGAAAGUUUCCUAGGCUCCAAAUUGGCUCUGGGUAGUAUGUAG